CGGACGGGUGAGGAAUACAUCGGAAUCUACCUUUUCGUGGGGGAUAACGUAGGGAAACUUACGCUAAUACCGCAUACGACCUACGGGUGAAAGUGGGGGACCGCAAGGCCUCACGCGAUUAGAUGAGCCGAUGUCCGAUUAGCUAGUUGGCGGGGUAAUGGCCCACCAAGGCGACGAUCGGUAGCUGGUCUGAGAGGAUGAUCAGCCACACUGGAACUGAGACACGGUCCAGACUCCUACGGGAGGCAGCAGUGGGGAAUAUGGACAAUGGGCGCAAGCCUGAUCCAGCCAUACCGCGUGGGUGAAGAAGGCCUUCGGGUUGUAAAGCCCUUUUGUUGGAAGAAUCCUAUCGGUUAAUAACCGGUGGGAUGACGGUACCCAAAGAAUAAGCACCGGUAACUUCGUGCCAGCAGCCGCGGUAAUACGAAGGGUGCAAGCGUUACUCGGAAUUACUGGGCGUAAAGCGUGCGUAGGUGGUGUUAAGUCUGCUGUGAAGCCUGGGCUCAACCUGGGAAUUGCAGUGGAUACUGGAUCACUAGAGUGUGGUAGAGGAUGCGGAAUUUCUGGUGUAGCAGUGAAUGCGUAGAGAUCAGAAGACAUCCGUGGCGAAGGCGGCAUCCUGGCCAACACUGACACUGAGGCACGAAAGCGUGGGGAGCAAACAGGAUUAG
rnacentral:rRNA from 1 species